UCUGCUCCCAGCAGCCAUUGUACACUGUUGAACACCGAGAAGGUUUGCUCGGCUACGCCCUAAGAUUCUACGAUUUGCCAAGUUUAAACGCAAAAAUUUUGCCUUUUUAAAGGGAGUUCUUGCCCGAUUGCGGCCCAGGCGUUGAGAAAUAUCUCUCAGCUUCGAUUUGACCGUUUCGCUACGUAAUUCAGUGGCGAACGGUUGCUGAAAAUCGAAAGCAAUGGAUUGCUGCUUGAACGAGGAGAGAAGAGAAAGAAAAAGAAUUAAUAAUGAAAUYGAGAAGCAGAUUAGACAAGACAAGAGAAACCAGCGGAGAGAGUUAAAGCUUCUUCUGCUAGGUACUGGGGAGUCGGGCAAAAGUACAUUCAUAAAACAAAUGCGAAUUAUUCACGGUCAAGGAUACAGCGACGAAGAUAAAAGGGGAUACAUACCUCUCGUAUACCAAAAUGUGAUCACUGCUAUGCACAGUUUGACCCGGGCAAUGGAAACACUUAAAAUACCAUACAAAGACUCGUCAAACCCGGAACGAGCAAACUACAUUAGAACAGUCGAUCCUAAAAAUGUAACAACGUUUGAAAAAGAGUACUACGAGGCAACGAAAAAUCUCUGGGCUGACGCCGGCAUGCAAGAGUGUUACGAUCGGCGAAGAGAGUAUCAACUGAGCGACUCGGCAAAAUACUAUCUAACAGAUUUGGACCGCUUAGCAAAACCAGAUUACCUACCUACAGAGCAAGAUGUUCUGCGAGCUAGAGCCCCUACAUCUGGGAUYAUUGAAUACCCCUUCGACCUGGAGACCAUCAUCUUCAGAAUGGUAGAUGUUGGAGGGCAAAGGUCUGAGAGACGUAAGUGGAUUCAUUGCUUUGAAAAUGUGACGUCAAUCAUGUUCUUAGUGGCACUUAGUGAGUACGACCAAGUUCUUGUGGAGUCCGACAGCGAGAAUCGUAUGGAAGAAAGUAAGGCACUAUUCCGGACCAUUAUUACCUAUCCGUGGUUUCAGAAUUCAUCGAUUAUACUUUUCCUUAACAAGAAGGAUCUGUUAGAAGAGAAGAUUAUGUUUUCCCACUUGUCAGACUACUUUCCAGAAUUUGAUGGUCCACAGUGUGACGCCCAGGCAGCCCGUGAGUUUAUUCUUAAAAUGUUUGUUGAUCUAAACCCAGAUACAGACAAGAUAAUCUAUUCUCAUUUUACUUGUGCGACCGACACUGAAAACAUUCGUUUUGUAUUCGCGGCAGUAAAAGACACGAUCCUGCAGCUUAAUCUUAAGGAAUAUAACUUAGUGUAAGGCUGUAUUAGGUGGGUAAUUUAUAUGCAAAACUCUUUAAAAAACAUCUGAAAUCUUGGUGCUAUCAAGAUUGAUGAUAUCGGGGUCAUAACGGUCAUUCUCCCCACAAUUCUCUUGUAAUUAGCUCAUAUGAAUUGUUCCCAGUACUGGCCUUCAGUUAUUUAUGGUCGAGCAAAGUUUUUUAUCUUUUACCGACGUGAUUCCAUUUAGUACCUAACAGACUUAAUGACAGUUAAACUAGAGAAUAUAUUUACCAUAUUGUCUGAUCAACUAGAAUUCUAAGUUUUUGCUGUGUAAUAACUUACAGAGGCCAAACGAAUGCCCCCAGAAUCAACGUAGAUGUACUGAAGGAUUUCCCUAGAUUUUUUUUGUUCUUUGUUGUUGAAAUCAGCCUUGGUCUGAAAGGCUGAGUAUUUCGCCUGCAGUCACUGAAACUCCCUCAUAAAGGUUUACUUUACUAUUUAAGUAAAUACAGGGUUCACAGCAAGUAUAACCUAUAGAUGAUCAUGCAUAUAAAAAAAAGUAAGAAAUAAUGUAAAGCUUACCGUCUACUUAAAGUUCACACUUUGGCCGCUAUUAUUGUAGUUAGACUUAGAAUUUCUGAUUCUUUAGUAGAUGAAUUAUUAUCAUUAAUAAUAUUAUUAUUAUUCACGUAAAAAAAGGUUUUUUCCAUCCGAAAGAUAUCGUCUUUGAAUUUUUUAAACUUGCCAGGACUUUUCAGUUCUUUUCUCGUUCUCGAGACCGAUUUGCGCAUCCAGGCCUUUCAUUGAAGGCACCAUUUUCAAGCCGUKCAAGAGUAUAGUGGCCCUAUAUGAUGUCCCUAUAAAAGGCGGCGUCACAAUGCCCAGACGUGGUAUUCAUAUGGUGCCCUUGUAGAAUGUCCCUGGGKUUUUUUCUAUGGCCCUAUAUAUAGUGCCCUAGUGUCCACGCAAGAUGUAACCUAUAUCAAGUGUUUACACAGUGUUUCAAAUAGUGUCCUCAUAUAGGGUCACUAUAAGGCAUCCUUUAGGUUCCCCACCGUGGUGUCCUAUAUAGUGCCUAAAUACGGUGUUCUCUUGCAACKGCACAACACUAUAUGUCCCUUUUGAAAUGGCCCAUCAUUUUGCUUGCUUACUUUUUUUUAAUCAUCGGCUUUUUUUCCCGGCAAUUGAAAACAUGUUUCGUCUUACUCUCUCRUCAAUUGAUUAAGUCUUCUAGAGCACACUUGAUUAAGUCUUCUAAAGCACUAACAUUGAUUGGAGCCAUGAAAUAACAAGUCGUACAAUAUAUAUAUAUAAAGCAGUGGUUAAGUGUGGGUGUUUGUACUCGAUGAAUUAGCCUAGCUUUAUUGUAACAAAAAAGAUUGUCAGAAUUCAUUAGCUUAGAGUAAAAAAAAGAUGUACUGUAUUUUAGUCGCAAUUGGUACAUUCACCCAUUUCCAAACCCAUCUGAACAGCCAACACGUGCUUUUACCCAUAAUACUUUGCGCAGACUUCGGAAAAGGAAUUUCGUUUUAAAUCAUAUUAUUCCAUGUUUGUACAUUUCUUGAUGUUAUUGUAGACAGUAAAUAAGUUGAUUUAUUUUAGAAUCGCAGAGUUUUAUCAAAAGAUGUCGUCAUUUUGCAAUGCAUUGYGGACCAUUUAUGUUUGCAAAGCAUUGUGGUCUAGUGUUCAGUGCAAAGUAUUAUGGGAAGGGUAUARAUUGAUAUCCUUAUUUCAAUAAGGUGAAAAGUCACACUUAUAAUUGAAAGCCAAAAAGUACAUUUAACGUAGAAAGAGAUAUUAUUCAAGGGUUAUUUUUUGGUGCUCUGUUCAAUGGAAGUGUCAUAAGUCGCCAUAGAUUCCAUAGCCUCACGUGUACAAAAUAAGAAAAAUCCAGAUGAUAAUUAAAUAAGAAACUAUCUUACGAAUGUAUGUUAAAAAAGUAAGUGCGUUGUUUGGAGAAGUCAAAACAGAUUAUUUCCCUUUUUAGAGUGAUAUUCGUUUAAGCGAAACUCGAAAUCGAAAAGGGAAUGUAUAAAAAAAUGAGAAAUGACAAAAUAAAAGUCUUUUGUUGUGUUA